UACGUAGGGUGCGAGCGUUGUCCGGAAUUAUUGGGCGUAAAGAGCUCGUAGGCGGUCUGCCGCGUCGAUCGUGAAAACUUGGGGCUUAACCCUGAGCUUGCGGUCGAUACGGGCAUGACUGGAGUUCGGCAGGGGAGACUGGAAUUCCUGGUGUAGCGGUGAAAUGCGCAGAUAUCAGGAGGAACACCGGUGGCGAAGGCGGGUCUCUGGGCCGAUACUGACGCUGAGGAGCGAAAGCGUGGGUAGCAAACAGG
rnacentral:rRNA from 1 species